GCUUUCGUAGUGUAAUGGUAGCACACUCAGCGCUAAUUCCAGAGGUCCAGGUUCGAGUCCCGGGGAGAGUA
rnacentral:tRNA from 1 species